rnacentral:rRNA from 1 species
UACCAGCACCCCGAGUGGUCGGACGUUUAUUGGGCCUAAAGCAUCCGUAGCCGGUUCUACAAGUCUUCCGUUAAAUCCACCUGCUUAACAGAUGGCUGCGGAAGAUACUAUAGAGCUAGGAGGCGGAGAGGCAAGCGGUACUCGAUGGUAGGGUAAAAUCCGUUGAUCCAUUGAAGACCACCAGUGGCGAAGGCGGCUUGCCAGAACGCGC